GGAAACAUUAUUGUUAAGCAUGUAUGUUAUAAAAGUGAAAAAAUACAAAACUUUACUAGAAUAAGGCCACUCAAUCUUUCCUACAACACACAUUCCUAUUACUCUCACUUUCAUCUCCACUCUCCACCUACCCAAUCACUCCUUUAUGGCGGCAUGGCUUUAUCUUGUCUCCACCAUCAACCUCCAUCUCUGUCCCAAUUGACACCCAAAAAAUUGAAAACAUGUCAUCAAUUUAGAUAUUUUUCUUCAAGGCUCUGUAUCAACUCUCGUUUCUUCUCAUUCAGCAAUCACCAUUAGCUACCAUAAAGUUUCCAUUAAAUUCACCAUCUCAUAUUGCUCAGAGGCGUCUUCUUUGAUUGUUGUGGAUAAGAAACCAUCUGAUAUAACCAAAGUUUGACUCUUCUUGCCUAGCAAAGGCCAAUGGCUGCUGACUCCCUCAAUCUUCUCGAGAAUUGUCAGCUAUCAGUUAAGCAGGUGAAUCCACAGAAGUUUGUUGCACAAGUUCCAUAGUACAUAUGGCCUAAAAAUACAGCAUCGAUCGGAUAAAAACAGACACUCCUGAUUGGAUAUGCAAAGUUUAAAUCGUUGACAUGAUUCGAGAGAGAAAUCUCCUAAGAAGAAAAUUCAAUUUCAAAAUCUCAUUUUAGAGAAUGAACAGAAUCUUGGGAAAAAGAAGAUUCAGAUAAGCAUUAUUGUCAUUGGCCAUGUCGACUAUGGAAAGUCUAUCACUAUUGGUCACUUGAUUUACAAGCUUAGUGGCAUUGACAAGCAUGCCAUUGAAAGGUUCGAGAAAGAAGCAACUAAGAUAAACAAGAGGUCCUUUAAGUAUGCUUGGGUGCUUGACAAGCCGAGGGCUGACAGUGAACGUGGUAUUACCAUUGUUAUUGCCUUGGGGAAGUUUGAGACCACAAAGUACUGUUGCACUGUGAUUGAUUCCCCUAGAAAAAGGGAUUUUAUUUAGAACAUGAUUACUGCUAUCUGCCAGGCUGACUGUGUUGUCCUCAUUAUUGAUUCCACCACUGACUCUUUUGAAGCUGGUAUCUUCAAAGAUGGACAAAUCCGUGAUCGUACAUUGCUUGCUUUCACCCUUGGUGGCAAGCAAAUGAUUUGUUGUUGUAACAAGGUCUCUUUUACUGAUAUUUUUUUAUGUUAAAGUGAAAUUUGAUGUUGCAUUACAAUUAAAAUACAAUGUUGGACCCGUGCUAAGCACGGGCUUACCCAUCUAGGCUACGUAUAAGUUAGUAAUUAUGGCACAUCCCUAUUUCCUCUGUAAAAGUUAAGACUUUAUACAAUGCAUCAUUAAUUAAUUUGUGGCGAAUAAGUUCACAUGAGAAUUA